CGUAGAAUCCGCGCCGCAGGUGCCCGCGGGCCAGUCGGCUCAAGGGUUAAACGGGAAGUUCGUGCACAAGCGAACGCUGCCCCCGCAACGGUAAUUGGGAAGCCUCGGCGACACGCCACUGGAUGCAGCGCAUCCGGGAAGGUGCCGAAGGCCAUGCCCAUGAGCCCGGAGACCGGCCUGCGAUAUGUCAGCCGA
rnacentral:ncRNA from 2 species